rnacentral:tmRNA from 1 species
GGGGGCGCUCUGGAUUCGACGCCGGUUACAAAACUUGAGGUGCAUGCCGAGAUGGUGACCAAUCUCGUAAAUCCAAAGUCGCAAACUUAUAGUUGCCAACGACGACAACUACGCGCUCGCUGCCUAAACACCAGUAGAACGCCAUCUGACUGGAGCCGUGCUUAUGCGUCCAGCGCUUCAUCUACCCAGGGGUCAAACUCAGGGUAGCGGCGAAGUUCUCAGGUGUCAUAGCUCAUAAGAUCGUGUUGACGCUUGUCCGGGGUCGAUACACUAAAACUUUACCGGAAUCGCCAUUUCAUGCACCUCGUUGGCCGGGUUGUGAAAGGUUAAAUAAAAAGGCCUAACUAAGCAUGUAGAGCCGAUAGCAGCGGACUGACGGACGCGGGUUCGACUCCCGCCGCCUCCACCA